rnacentral:lncRNA from 1 species
UGGCUAUUAUGGAGUUGCACACACACCAAGCAAAUUGACCAUACUCGGCAUGUAAGUAGACUGCCUUGGUAUUUUGCAAAUCUUUCAUGCCUCUUGCUAAUCUUGUUUAUUUUUCUUUAACUUCCACUGGCAUUUGUCUUUGGUAGAUAAUGCUAUCUUCCACGCUGUGCAGAUACGGAUUCUGAAGUUAAAAGAUGAAGUUUCCGGUCCUUCUAAAAUUAUUUAUUUUAUUAUUAACCCAUAUAGGACGUGUUGGCAUUUAAUUGAACAUACAAAA